AUUGAACGCUGGCGGCAUGCCUUACACAUGCAAGUCGAACGGUAACAGGUCUUCGGAUGCUGACGAGUGGCGAACGGGUGAGUAAUACAUCGGAACGUGCCCGAUCGUGGGGGAUAACGAAGCGAAAGCUUUGCUAAUACCGCAUACGAUCUACGGAUGACAGCAGGGGACGGCAAGGCCUUGCGGGAACGGUGCGGCCGAUGGCAGAUUAGGUAGUUGGUGGGAUAAAAGCUUACCAAGCCGACGAUCUGUAGCUGGUCUGAGAGGACGACCAGCCACACUGGGACUGAGACACGGCCCAGACUCCUACGGGAGGCAGCAGUGGGGAAUUUUGGACAAUGGGCGAAAGCCUGAUCCAGCCAUGCCGCGUGCAGGAUGAAGGCCUUCGGGUUGUAAACUGCUUUUGUACGGAACGAAAAGACUCUGGUUAAUACCUGGGGUCCAUGACGGUACCGUAAGAAUAAGCACCGGCUAACUACGUG
rnacentral:rRNA from 1 species